GUAAUGUGAUUAAUUUUGUUUCCCUCUUUGGCAGUAUUGCCAUACUGGUAUUUGUGGAGCUGAGUUGCCAUCUGGUUAAAGACAUCAGAGUUCAGCCCUGGGAAGCUCUGUCAGCCUCUGAGUGAAGGUGCAUCAACGUGAAGGAAGGAGAAGCCUGAAGAAGGGUGACCUGGGGUGGAAGCUAGCCUUGGAUGUUGCUCUGCCGAUCAGGUUUUCUCGUGAGAAGCUUAGCCAUUUGCUGGCUCUGUAUCUCAGUGUUUCCCUCUUACUGACCUUGGCCUUCAAGCGUUUGAGUUCAGUUUUCAGGUUUAUUUGGGGAUCAGAGAAAUUAAUGUAAGAAAGUGCUCUGUGCACUGUAAAACCAAUUUUAAUGGAAUGCACAAACGGAUGUAGAAACAGUUUUCGCAGCUUGGCCUUUUUGCAUCACGCAGCUCCACUCCCUCUAGAAAACAGGCAAGGUAAGACACGGGAGUUAAAACUCAAGUCUGAGCAUUUUGCUGCUAAUGAGCAGCUCCACCACAGGUUUAUUCCUGCUCCUUGAGGGCAGGGAAGGAGCAUCUCUUAUUAAUCUUUGCGCAUCUUCUCCUCACUGGCACUUCUUACUGGUGUCCAGGUGGAGCACAAUGCUUGCUUAUAGGUGGAUUAGAUUGAGUUGAAUAUUUUACUGUGAUUUGAAAGAAAGAGCUGGAAAUAGUGCUCCAGCUUUGUUUGUAGUGGGCCAUGCUGAGGACUCUGGCAUCUUCGAGAAAGUGGCCCUGCCUGGGGCUUUGAUGUUGAUCAUAGUGUUUUUCACACACGGAGGGGGACACCUGAUCUCUAACAUGCUGCCCACUGGUGGGGGCUGGCGUGUCCUGUCCACUUCACCACAGUCAUGGACUCUGUCACAGUCUCUAGCCCAAGCUCAGCAUCAGCUCUGAACACCCUGUGGUCUAGACUCAUCUCCCUCCCAUUGUCGACACAUAGAAGUGCCUCUAUCUCCCCAGCCCACAUCACAGCCUUUGCUGACUGGUGGGCCAGGCAGAAGUGGGCAGUCCUCAUGCAUCUGGAUGAGGCCCAACUGAAAGGUGCAAGGCUGAGGAAAGCCAUUCCCUCUGCUUUGCCAUAGAGAAUAAACAACUGCAGACCUCCUGGAUCAGUGUCAUGGGCAGAAUCAAGACAAUACAAUAGUAAGGAUUUGGGACAAGGCAGGUAAUAAGGCCGCUAAGGCGAGAAGCUGGGCCCAAGCCUAAGAAAGCGGUGAGUCUGAAGCAGAUGGCUGCUUGGCUGCUGAGU